rnacentral:rRNA from 1 species
UACAGAGGAGCCAAGCGUUGUCCGGAUUGACUGGGCGUAAAGCGCACGCAGGCGGUCGCGCGCGUGGGGUGUGAAAUCUGGCCGCUUAACGGCCAGGCGCCAUCCCAUACGGCGCGACUGGAGGUGAUGCAGAGGUCGGUGGAAUUGCCGGUGUAGUGGUGAAGUGCGUAGAGAUCGGCAGGAACACCCAGGGGGAAACCAGCGACUGG